CUUCGCGACCAUAAAGUUCACCCAUUCCUGUGCUCCUUCGGGCGUUUUUUUUUUUUUAGCCGCCAAGUAGUUGCGACUAGCGUGCUUGGAUUUACUCAUUUACGCACAUGCCCAAGCACAACCCUUUUAAUCGUAGUAAACAAGCAACCGCAUUCCAUUUGCCGUCCCUAAUUGAGUUUCCACAAAACAAACAAGUACUACAUUGCCAGCUCUCAGAAGGUAAAACAAAAUCUGACGUACAAGAAAAACAAAAAAAAAAGCAUGAACCCAUCUGUGGUUUUCACACUGAAAGCGAGAGCAUUUCCGGUUACCUGUCAUUAGGCCACAAUGGAGUACAUUUUGCAGCCACAGUCAGACGGAACGAAAAAAAAAACUACCAACUCGCCUGAGGAACUUCCAUUUAGCAGGAUGAGCAUAUGCGAGUAAAUACCGCUGGCAGGAUACAAAGCAACGCCACAUUACAAAUGACGCACUGAAUGCCAGUUCAGUCACGUGUGAUGAACCGACAACAAUGUCGGCCCAAAAGGAAGUGGCAGUGGGCCACGGCCCCAAAGAAAACCCACCGAAAACAAGCUCUAGCUCCCGCUGUCUAUUGUUUUCCAGACACUUAUGCGAGCGGCGGAUAUCGAUGGCAGGAUGCCAGGACUCGCCGUGGCAGCUGUCAGGAGCUUGGAGCCGGCUCUUCAGGUUCAUUUCGUGAUCUCAUCAAAGGAGCUGCGACAACUGAUGACUAAAUAAUUUCACCUUCUGCCUGAGCACAAUGUUUGCUCACCGAUAAACAAAAUAUAUCGUUUGCGUAUACGAGUAUAAUGGAAAA
rnacentral:sRNA from 1 species